rnacentral:rRNA from 1 species
CCUACGUGAGGCAGCAGUGAGGAAUAUUGGUCAAUGGGCGGGAGCCUGAACCAGCCAAGUCGCGUGAGGGAAGACGGUCCUAUGGAUUGUAAACCCCUUUAGGCGGGGAGCAAUGCCGGGCACGCGUGCCCGGAGGGAGAGUACCCGCAGAAUAAGCAUGGGCUAACUCCGUGCCAGCAGCCGCGGUAAUACGGAGGAUGCGAGCGUUAUCCGGAUUUAUUGGGGUUAAAGGGUGCGUUGGCGGAUUUUUAAGUCGGCGGUAAAAUGUCCGGGCUCAACCCGGGGCGGCCGUUGAAACUGGGGUUCUUGAGUGGGCGAGAGGUAUGCGGAAUGCGUGGUGUAGCGGUGAAAUGCGUAGAUAUCACGCAGAACUCCGAUUGCGAAGGCAGCAUACCGGCGCCCGACUGACGCUGAGGCACGAAAGCGUGGGGAUCGAACAGGAUUAGAUACCCGGGUAGUC